AUUGAACGCUGGCGGCAGGCCUAACACAUGCAAGUCGAGCGGAUGAAGGGAGCUUGCUCCUGGAUUCAGCGGCGGACGGGUGAGUAAUGCCUAGGAAUCUGCCUGGUAGUGGGGGAUAACGUCCGGAAACGGGCGCUAAUACCGCAUACGUCCUGAGGGAGAAAGUGGGGGAUCUUCGGACCUCACGCUAUCAGAUGAGCCUAGGUCGGAUUAGCUAGUUGGUGGGGUAAAGGCCCACCAAGGCGACGAUCCGUAACUGGUCUGAGAGGAUGAUCAGUCACACUGGAACUGAGACACGGUCCAGACUCCUACGGGAGGCAGCAGUGGGGAAUAUUGGACAAUGGGCGAAAGCCUGAUCCAGCCAUGCCGCGUGUGUGAAGAAGGUCUUCGGAUUGUAAAGCACUUUAAGUUGGGAGGAAGGGCAGUAAGUUAAUGCCUUGCUGUUUUGACGUUACCAACAGAAUAAGCACCGGCUAACUUCGUG
rnacentral:rRNA from 1 species